UACGUAGGGUGCGAGCGUUGUCCGGAAUUAUUGGGCGUAAAGAGCUCGUAGGCGGUCUGUCGCGUCGGUCGUGAAAACCUGCAGCUUAACUGUGGGCGUGCGGUCGAUACGGGCAUGACUGGAGUUCGGCAGGGGAGACUGGAAUUCCUGGUGUAGCGGUGAAAUGCGCAGAUAUCAGGAGGAACACCGGUGGCGAAGGCGGGUCUCUGGGCCGAUACUGACGCUGAGGCACGAAAGCGUGGGGAGCAAACAGG
rnacentral:rRNA from 1 species